CCAAAAUCACUGUAUAAAAUUUUAUUCAGCCGAUAAUUAUAGUAAUUAUGUGUUUGAUUCCAAUAAUGUAAUUACAGUGACAUUAGUAAUUCUGUACAGAUACUUGGAAAUUUCAAAAUUACUUCUAUAAAUUUCUACUUUCAUACUUUUACCCUGUAGCUAUGAAAUGGCAACAUAGGGAACAUAUGGGAUAUUGUUAAUAGUUUUUAUAGUGCUGUAUAUUAAACUUUUUUUAGACAUGAUUUGUAUGGUCAAACUUUUCAGAGUUAUUUCUGAGCUUUUAAUACAUUUUUAUGGGACUGUUUACUUUUCUGUUGGGAAUGUUUUGACAGGAACCAGAAGAAAGGUAGCUAUUGAGAAUUUUCAAUACAAGUAUAAUGCUGAAGUGAUGGAAAUCCCAUUUCAAAGACAGUUUUCUUGAAGCUUCCUAAACAAAUUUUGGUCUCCAGAGCCAUGUAAAGAUGCCUGCUUACACUUUGCCUUCUGCCAUAAUUGUAAGUUUCCUGAGGCCUCCGCAGAAGCUGCUAUGAUUUCUUCACAAUCUGCAGAACCGUGGCUGAAUAUUGAUGUCAGAUGCCAAUUCCCCUCAGAGAGAAUAUGAAAAUUACAGAUCAAUGGUCAUGAAAUAAGUUGAAAUAUCAGGGAAGAGUGACAAAACCUGUUGGAGAAUUCAGAGAAAGCAACUGGGCACAGGAAAGGAAGGCAGCAAGAAUCUGGCAGAGAUUAACCCCUAAGAACUUAACAGAUUAAGGAUCCAAGAAGUAAAUAAGAAGUAAACAUCUACAACCAAUAAGGUCUAUCCGAAAUGCAGAAAACUUCAUAUUCCAUAAACAAAUAUUUAUAGUUUUUAUGUCCUUAAUUUACAGAAAGUAUUUAUAUAUUUAGCCACAAAGUACACCUGAAACAAAGCAAAACAGACAGAUGUAACAUAUUCUCUUAUCAUGAUCCAGUGUAAUUUGAAUUAAAUAGCUUUUAGAAAUUAACAAACACUCAUAAAGUCUUCUGGAUCAAAGAAGAAACUGAUCCUCGUGGAAAACAACUAUUACAAAGAAAAUUUAUAGCUUUGAAUAGUUUUAUUUUUUUUAACCCUCAAAAUAAAUGGACUCAGUAUCCACCUCUUUAGAAAUUUGUAAAGCAAAAACAGAAAAAAUAGAAAGAAAGUAGAAACAGGGAUUUAAACAUAAAGUUAAAUUUAAUAUCAGAAGAGAGAAGAGUGAAAAAAAAUAUGUGAAACUGAAAACUAAUUAUUUAAGAUGAGUAAUACAAUAAGUAAAUCUUAAAGGUCUGAUUUUUAAAAAGAAACAAAAAAUAUGAUAUUUGAUAUGGAAAGGAAAUAAAAACCACAACAGUCUAUUAUGAACAUCUCUAUAGUAAUUGAUUUGAAAUUUUAGAAUAAAUUGAUGGCAACAUAAUAAAGCAUAAAUUAUAAAAGCAGAUACAAGAAGAAAUAGAAAACAAAGAGUACCCCAUAAUAUAUCCAUCUAAUGUGUACCUAUAAAAAUUUUUUAAAAAAGAAAACAAACAGAUCAAUACCCCCUAGAAAGGUGAUUAUAAAUACAUCAUUUAGAUUUCUGGUUAAAUGUGGUAAACUAUGCGUACACAUUUAUCUGUGAUAUAUCAUGACAUUCCAUUCACAUGCUUAUUAAGGCAUUUUUAAGCCAUAUAUCAAAUAAUAUUGAGAGAAGAAGACAGAAGAUCAGAAUUGUCAAAUAAUUUUAAGUUCAAAGUUGAUAAAUAAGUGAUAACUUAAUUGUCAGAUACAAAAAAGCUGAAGAUUAAAUGUCCCUGAUGACGGAUGAGAGAAAAAAAAAAUUAACUCAAUCUACAUGGUGUAAUUCCUGAAAGGCUAAUUAAUUAGAGGCAAACUGUAUUUAUACGAAUAUGAAUGGGAAUGGAUCUGAAAACCAAAAAGAUCAUCAAAUUCUAUAAAUGAGAGGGAAAAACUUAAAAAGACAGAUCGAGUAAAAAAUCUGCUGAAGAACGGAGAGAACUCACAACCUCUUUCAAUUCUAGGGUCCUUGAUCAGGGAGAACUCAGAAUUUCUUUCUAUUUUGGUUUCUUAGAUCACUGGAAUUUAGGUUUACAUCUGUAGGCAACAUUGUACAGUUCUUCAUGGUUUCCACUGACCAGCCUAAAAUACACAAAUACAAUGAUAAAUAAGAGCUGCCUAACAAAAUGACUAUUCUGCCAGAAGAAUCUAGAAUAUUAGACUCAACCAUCCCUCAGUGUUCACCUUUUAGUGUCUGAUAUGGUUUGUCUGUGUGCCCACCCAAAUCUCAUCUGGAAUUAUAGAUCCCAUAAUUCCCAAGUGUUGUGGGAGGGACCUGGUGGGAGGUAAUUUAAUCAUUGGGGCAGUUGCUUUUAUGCUGUUCUCAUGUUAGUGAGUGAAAUCUCACGAGAUCUGAUGGUUUUAUAAGGGGUUUUUUCCCGUUUUUCUUGUCACUUCCCGUCCUGCCACCCCGUGAAGAAGGACGUGUUUGCUUCCCCAUCUAACAUGAUUGUAAGUUUCCAGAGCCCCCAGCCAGACAUGCUGAACUGUGAGUCAAUUAAACCUCUUUCUUUAUAAAUUACCCAAUCUUGGGGAUGUCUUUAUUAGCAGCAUAAGAACGGACUAACACAGUGGCUCUCUUAAUUUUGAAUAAAUAACCAAACGUUAUUAGAAUUUUGGAAAUAACCUUUUGUGUAAAAGGAAAAAUGAAACAAAAUAAAAUCAUCGUAAAUACUGAAGGUAAAGAAUUCUAAAAGCUAUGGAGAAAAGGUCGUGGAUAAGGUCAUAAAUAAGGAAACAGUGAAAUCAGACUUCUCAGUAGAAAUCCUGCUAUUAGAAGGUAAUGAAGUAUUGCCUUAAAAUUACUGAGGGAAAAUUAUCUUAAAUCUAUAAUUUUAUUUAUUUAGUAUGUUAUCAGCAUUUAGCAAAUUUAUUGUGGCAAAAACACUAACUUGAGAUCUACCCUUGUAACAAACUUAUUAAAUUAUACAAAUAUUGUCUACUAUAGGUACAAUGUUAUGCAGCAGAUCUCUAGAAUUUAUUCAUGCUUUAUAAUUUAAACUUUAUACCCCUUGAAAAGCAAGUCCCUAUUUCCCCUUUCACCAGCUCUUGGUACUACCAUCCUAUACUCUGUUUCUCUGAGUUUGACUAUUUUAGAUACCUCAUAUAAGUGGAAUUAUGCAGUAUUUUUAAUUAUGUGACUGGAUUGUUACACUUAGCUUAAUGUCCUAAAGAUUUAUUCAUGUGUUCUCAUAUGAAAAGAUUUUCUACUUUUUAAAGACUGAGAGAUAUUCCAUUGUGUAUAUAUACCACAUAUUUGUUAUUCAAUCAUCCUAGGAUAAUUUUUCCUGGAUGACCCAGGAAAAUUAAUUCUCUAAACUUAUUUUUUUCAUUUGUAUUUGGGGACCAACAUUCAUACCUUACUGGGCUACCAUGAGGAUUACAUUAGUUUAUGCAGUAAAGUGCUUGUCUUGAGUGCCGGCUUGAUAAUUAUUUUUUUUCCACUUUACCACCUCAGGAUCCUAGAAAUUUAGAUUUAAUAGUAUCUGAGUUUCUACAAAUUCUGCAAUGAAAUGUUCCCAUGUCAUGUAACAUAGAUAGAAUAAAUAUUGGUUUACUUUAUUAUGCUUUUAUGCUUGACACACUAUUACGUGUUGACACUAUUAUGCUUGACACAUUAUCCCAUCACAACGGAGGUUAUGUAGAAGUAUUAGUCAGGGUCUCUGUCUUCAAGAACUUUGCAAUAGAGUUUGAAAUACAAGAAUAAUGUACAUAAAUCUACUUUGAACAUUCUGUUACCUGUCAUCCCAAUAUCCAUAAUUGAAUGAAAUUAGCCACCAAUGAUAAACUUUAGGUAGAAUUUAUGCCUGCUUUCCUUCUACCUGUAAAAAAUACACGUAAUGUAAAUAUACUAUAGAGUUUGCUAUAAGUAGCUUAUGAAUUUUAGCAGAUAUUAUCUCUCAACAAAUUUUGAGGACAAGAGUAGGAAUAAUUUCACAUGUCUUACUGUUUUUAUUCUUACUAGUUUUAAUAAGAAUCUUUUACAUAUUUGUGAUUCUAAGACACAUAUAUAUGUAUAUCAUGCAUUUUGUAAUCAUUGCUAACAUGUUUUCGUACACUUUUAGAAUUUCAAUACAGGAAUAAAUGUUAGAAAUCUAACAUUCAUUCUUAAAUGGCUGCAGGGAAGUGGGGAAUGGAUAGAGAAUAUAUAUAUUUCCCUAGAUGUCCUGUCCAAAUUAUACAUGGCAUCCUCUGAAAUAGAUUCUGGCAUCAUCCUCCUCCCCACCACCCCCAUGCAUCCUGGUGAGAGUAAUUCAGAGAGUGUGUUGAAGAGAAAACUGAGGCUAAAAAUGUAAAAAUGUAUUACCCAGAGGUCCACACAUACAAUAUGGCAGGGUUAUCAUUCCCAAGUAAGUGCUCUUUCCCAUAGCCUACCUGGCCACUUCCUUUAGUUUUUUUAUCUGUAUUGUAAACAUGGUUCAUGAAGUCUUUAUUUCCUAAUACAAAUAGGUGAUCUUCUGGAAACUUGUAACUCUUCAACGUUAUCUUUUUUCAUUGAUUUACCAUAUUCUACAUUUAUUAAAAUUAUUUAUAAGUUGUAUAGUUUAUUUUAAUGCAGCCUAUUAAUAUUUAAACACUGUCUCCCUUGCCUGCAUUAUAUCUUGAACAUUGUAAUUUAUCAGUACAUAUCCAGCUUAAAUAUAGUCGUAUAAAUAACAUCUCUAGAGUACAAAGUUGUAUUUAUUAAUGUUUUAUAAUUUAAUUGUUAAGGGAGGUAUAUUAGUCAUUGUUCAAUUAGGAAAGAAAACUACUCUAGAUUUUUUAAACAGAGAGGGCUUUGUGCCAGAAAUUGAUUACAAAAUAGUUGAAAUGGAUAGAGGAGGAAAACGAUGUGCUUGAGAAACCAGUAAGAGGAGAUAUUACCUAGAGAUUAAGAAGCAACUACAACCCAUAGGCUCAUACCCAUCAGCCCACAUUGCUGUUGAUCUUCUGGUGGUGCUACAAGUGCCAUUGCUUCUACUGAAACUGCACUAUUGCUGAGAUUGCCCUGCUGCAGAUGCUGCUGAAAUUACCACCAGUACUGCUAGAAACCCAGCGUUCUAAUAUAUAUGCAGUCCUUCAGUCAUUAAUUGCUAAUGCUACCACAAAAUAUUAACAGAAGAACGGGAAAAUUAUGAAACUGUUUUUCUCUAGCCUUCAAAUUCACUGCCAGUGCUACCCAUUUAUGGACUCUAACUGAAAAACGGCUUUCAAGCGUGUAUAGGAUUUCGUUUUCUGGUUUCUAGACUCCUGUGACUCAAGGAAGAAUAAAGACUGAGAAUGGAGUUGAAAGUCAACAGGUGAAUGGGGUUAUUCAUACUGUCUCAGAUACUACUGCCAAACAAGCUCCUUUUGUCUUAAAGUAACCAAGUACACUUGUGGAUAUAAAACUUCAGAGAGCAACUAGUAGAGGUAAUUUGGAGAAAGAGCCAGAUUUAUAUGGAAUGUGGUUACUCACAUGAAAUAUGAUUUAAUCAACAAUCAGCCAAACAGUGCUAUAAACUUCUUCAUUACUUGGCCUGUUUAAGGCACAGUUAGGAUAUUUAAAGCAUAAUUUAUACUCAAAGGA
rnacentral:lncRNA from 1 species